GACGAACGCUGGCGGCGUGCUUAACACAUGCAAGUCGAACGCUGAAGCUCAGCUUUUGUUGGGUGGAUGAGUGGUGAACGGGUGAGUAACACGUGAGUAACCUGCCCCCUUCUUUGGGAUAACGCCCGGAAACGGGUGCUAAUACUGGAUAUUCACUGGUCUUCGCAUGGGGGUUGGUGGAAAGGGUUUUUCUGGUGGGGGAUGGGCUCGCGGCCUAUCAGCUUGUUGGUGGGGUGAUGGCCUACCAAGGCUUUGACGGGUAGCCGGCCUGAGAGGGUGACCGGUCACAUUGGGACUGAGAUACGGCCCAGACUCCUACGGGAGGCAGCAGUGGGGAAUAUUGCACAAUGGGCGCAAGCCUGAUGCAGCGACGCCGCGUGAGGGAUGGAGGCCUUCGGGUUGUGAACCUCUUUCGCUCAUGGUCAAGCCGCAACAAUGGUUGUGGUGAGGGUAGUGGGUAAAGAAGCGCCGGCUAACUACGUG
rnacentral:rRNA from 1 species